rnacentral:rRNA from 1 species
UGGGCAGUUUGACUGGGGUGGUCGCCUCCCAAAUCGUACCGGAGGCGCGCGAAGGUUUGCUCAGGCUGGUCGGAAAUCAGCCGGUGAGUGCAAUGGCAAAAGCAAGCCUGACUGCAAGGAGGACACUCCGAGCAGAGACGAAAGUCGGUCAUAGUGACCUGGUGGCAUCCGCAAGGAAGGGCCAUCACACACGGAUAAAAGCUACUCUAGGGAUAACAGGCUGAUGCUACCCAAGCGUCCAUAGCGACGGUAGUGUUUGGCACCUCGAUGUCGACUCUUCGCAUCCUGGGGCUGGAGCAGGUCCCAAGGGUAUGGCUGUUCGCCAUUUAAAGCGGAACGUGAGUUGGGUUAAUAACGUCGUGAGACAGUUAGGUCCCUAUCUACUGUGGGCGUUAGAUAUUUGAGCGAACUUGACCUUAGUACGAGAGGACCGGGUCGAACGAACCCCUGGUGUACCUGUUGUCGCGCCCGCGGCAGUGCAGGCUAGCUAUGUUCGGAACAGAUAACCGCUGAAUGCAUCUAAGCGGGAAGCUGGUCGCAAGAUAAGAUAUCUCCAUCAGUCCAGUCAUAGACUAUGACAUUGAUAGGCUGCAAGUGUAAGCCCUGCGAGGGGUUCAGCUGAGCAGUACUAAUCGGACGAUUGACUUUUUAUU